rnacentral:rRNA from 1 species
GUUAUAGGGUCAAGUGAAUAAGUGCAUGUGGUGGAUGCCUUGGCGAUCACAGGCGAUGAAGGACGUUGUAGCCUGCGUUAUGCUGCGGGGAGCUGGCAAACAAGCUUUGAUCCGCAGAUUUCCGAAUGGGGAAACCCACUCCGCAAGGAGUAUCCCACGCUGAAUACAUAGGCGUGAGGAGGCGAACCGAGCGAACUGAAACAUCUAAGUAGCUCGAGGAAAAGAAAUCAACCGAGAUUCCGAAAGUAGUGGCGAGCGAAAUUGGAACAGCCUGUACGUGAUAAUCAUGAAGUCAGCAAAACGGCCUGGAAAGGCCGGCCAUAGCAGGUGAUAGCCCUGUAUGCGAAAACUUCGUGAUGGUACUAAGCGUACGAUAAGUAGGGCGGGACACGUGGAAUCCUGUCUGAAGAUGGGGGGACCAUCCUCCAAGGCUAAAUACUCGUGAUCGACCGAUAGUGAACCAGUACCGUGAGGGAAAGGCGAAAAGAACCCCGGGAGGGGAGUGAAAUAGAUCCUGAAACCGCAUGCAUACAAACAGUCGGAGCCUCCUUGAGGGGUGACGGCGUACCUUUUGUAUAAUGGGUCAGCGACUUACGUUUAGUGGCAAGCUUAACCGAAUAGGGGAGGCGCAGGGAAACCGAGUCCGAAUAGGGCGAUCAGUCGCUAGGCGUAGACCCGAAACCAGAUGAUCUAUCCAUGGCCAGGAUGAAGGUAGGGUAACACCUGCUGGAGGUCCGAACCGACUACUGUUGCAAAAGUAGCGGAUGAGCUGUGGAUAGGGGUGAAAGGCUAAACAAAUCUGGAAAUAGCUGGUUCUCCCCGAAAACUAUUUAGGUAGUGCCUCAUGUAUGGCUCCAGGGGGUAGAGCACUGUCAUCAUUGCGGGGGUCAUUGCGAUUUACCGCGUGAUAGCAAACUCCGAAUACCUGGAAGUCUGAGCAUGGGAGACAGUCCUCGGGUGCUAACGUCCGAGGUCGAGAGGGAAACAACCCAGACCGCCAGCUAAGGUCCCCAAGCAUGACUAAGUGGGAAACGAAGUGGGAAGGCUAAAACAGUCAGGAGGUUGGCUUAGAAGCAGCCACCCUUUAAAGAAAGCGUAAUAGCUCACUGAUCGAGUCGUCCUGCGCGGAAGAUGUAACGGGGCUAAGUCAUGCACCGAAGCUGCGGAUUUGCGAAAGCAAGUGGUAGGGGAGCGUUCUGUA